rnacentral:lncRNA from 1 species
AAUUGGACAUGAAUUUUACAUCCUAUUCAGUUGAAACAUCUAUUUAGUUUUCUUAUUAAAAAAACUAGAAACAAAAUCCUAGCGCUAUUGCGAUUCCAUUUUUGUCGUAUAUCUUAUUUCCCUUUCUUCUCUUCUAUACAUACCUUAUAUAAUGUGCAAUUAUAAAUCGGUUAAUUGAAACCUAAAUUGGACGUGAAUUUCGCAUCCUACAUGAAAAACCAUAAAA